CGCUAGCCACUUUUGCCGGGUGUCCACUUCUUCUUCAGCUAUGGUCGUACGAGCAUUUCGCCAUAGGUAGGCCGGUGGUGGAUCGCUCCCCGUACCCAGAGGAGUGGUACGGCGAGAUGGACGAGGACGCGCCGACAAUGGCCUCGCUGUGGUGUCGUCGACGGGGUUGGGAUUGUCACCCUUGUGCACCCGCGACGAGGAGUACUGGCUCACCAAGGCGCCCCUUGUCUUCGACAUCUACGUCGAAGAGUACUCACCGCAGCGCGUCAUGCGGCAGUUUGGCCGUCACCAGGCAUUCCCGCUCGUCCCCAUCCGUACAGUCCCCUUGCACGUCCACAGGUACACGCGGAAAGGCCAGCCAGCUGGCCACCUCUGGGCGGACCGCUUGGCCCCUUACGUGGCAACAUGGGCCCAAGCGCUAC